GAGCUGUGUUGUUUUUGACUUGUGAAUUGG
rnacentral:piRNA from 1 species